GGUUGUGGCUCAGUGGUAGAGCACUUGCCUAGCAUGCGUGAGGCCCUGGGUUUGAUUCCUGGCACCA
rnacentral:tRNA from 1 species